UACAGAGGUCCCAAGCGUUGUUCGGAUUCACUGGGCGUAAAGGGUGCGUAGGUGGUGAGGUAAGUCGGAUGUGAAAGCUCGGAGCUCAACUCCGAAAUGGCAUUGGAAACUACCUUGCUCGAGGGUUGGAGGGGGGACUGGAAUGCUUGGUGUAGCAGUGAAAUGCGUAGAUAUUCGCAAGAACACCAGUGGCGAAGGCGGCUCACUGGCCCGGUACUGACGCUGAGGUGCGAAAGCGUGGGGAGCAAACAGG
rnacentral:rRNA from 1 species